GUGAAUCAUCAAAUUUUUGAACGCAAAUUGCACUCUCCUCGGAGAGUAUGCCUGUUCGAGGGUCAGCCUAUAAAAAAUCGAAAUCGGUGCUGUUUCGCGGCGGCGUUCGUCGGAAAUUGGGUCAUCUUAAAUCCUUUUGCUUUAAGCGACUCAAAAUUUUCUUUUGGUUCCUUGAACGUUUCUAAGAUCUAUUUCUUUACAUGUUCAAGGUAUCGAUUUUUAUUCGAUGUGACUCUCAUAUC
rnacentral:misc_RNA from 1 species